ACAAGGUUUCCGUAGGUGAACCUGCGGAAGGAUCAUUGUCGUACUCGAAAACACGACCGUCGCGCAAGUGAUCGAGCCCCGUCCCGGCCCCCGCGCUCCCCGUCAGGGAGGGCGCGUGGGCCGGCCGGGAAAAAAAUACGGCGCGGGACGCGCCAAGGAACACGGUAUGCUUGGGCGGUCGGAGCCGCGCCUCGGCGCUCAUCCUUCCGCCGACGCAGGAGUUAUUCACAUGAUGACUCUCGGCAACGGAUAUCUCGGCUCUCGCAUCGAUGAAGAACGUAGCGAAAUGCGAUACGUGGUGUGAAUUGCAGAAUCCCGCGAACCAUCGAGUCUUUGAACGCAAGUUGCGCCCGAGGGAUCCGCCCGAGGGCACGCCUGCCUCAUGGGCGUUAGAAGCCCAUCCACGCUCGGGAGCCUCCGUGCCCCGACGCGGAACGUGGCCCUCCGAGCCCCUGGGCGCGGUGGGCCCAAGUGCGCGGCCGCUGGAGGACCCGGGAGCGGCGAGUGGUGGAUCGCUCCGUCCGCCGCACCGCGGUCCUCUCCGGCGCAUGGCCUUGCUCGACCCUAUGACGAGGAGCCGUGUCCUCCGUGGGACGCGGCGUACUCGGAUCGAUACCCCAGGUCAGGCGGGGCUACCCGCCAAAAACAGAAAGCCUC
rnacentral:rRNA from 1 species